AUUGAACGCUGGCGGCAGGCCUAACACAUGCAAGUCGAACGAGUGGCGGACGGGUGAGUAAUGUUUGGGAAACUGCCUGAUGGAGGGGGAUAACGACUGGAAACGGUAGCUAAUACCGCGUACCAUAGGAUGAGCCCAUAUGGGAUUAGCUAGUUGGUGGGGUAACGGCCCACCGAGGCGACGAUCCCUAGCUGGUCUGAGAGGAUGACCAGCCCCACCGGUACUGAGACACGGGCCAGACUCCUCCGGGAGGCAGCAGUGGGGAAUAUUGCACAAUGGGCGCAAGCCUGAUGCAGCCAUGCCGCGUGUAUGAAGAAGGCCUUCGGGUUGUAAAGUACUUUCAGCGGGGAGGCGUUACCCACAGAAGAAGCACCGGCUAACUCCGUGCCAGCAGCCGCGGUAAUAC
rnacentral:rRNA from 1 species